CGAACUGAAAAUUCAACGGCCGGUAAA
rnacentral:sRNA from 1 species